CAAAUCGGGUAAUUUUGUCACUUAUAUAGGAAAACAAGAGAUUCGUUCUUGCUGAUGAGAUAAUUGGCGAAUUAGGAGAUUCUACUGACUCUAUCCGUUUUUUAUUUCUGAAUUAUCGAAUGGAUAAUUCUUAUUUCGUAAUGUACAAAUUUACAAAUUAUUUUCCUUUGUCUUAUUCAACUUUAAGCUAUGAAAUAAUUUAUCUCUUUUUUGCUUUUCUUAAUAACAAUGGAAUAUUCUUAAUUCUUUUGAUAACAUCGUUUAACGAUGUCAACUAUGUGAAUUUUGGUGGCGUGUUCGGGUCGAACAUUGAACAAGGUUCAAUUUCGCCAGGCCAACUGCGGAUUCGCUUUAAUUUCUCGUAAUCCGCAAUCGCGCGGCUGCGCUGCAUGGAAAAGCUUUUUGCGAACGUUCUGCUGAGAUGGCAGGAAGAAAACAUUUCUGGAAUAUCCUGCGACGUCCAUUUCCGCGUAAAAGCGUGGCACGAAACGUCAGCAUGAAUCGAGAAUCUUCGUCGUCUAUUCCGUUUAUUUAGAACACGUGCCGAUAAAAAAAAUACUAGAGAAAAUAAAAUAGAAGCAAAUAAAAAGAAAUGUGGAAUUUAUUUUACUUCGGUCACUUUACUCUGUUAGGUUAGGUUAGAUAACGUUCGAGCUCGAGAAGUUUUAAAAGUACGAUCGAUAUUCUGGACUGUAUGGAGUGUACACAUUUGUCUUGUUGGUUUCAAUGUGCAAAUUGAACACUGGUUCUCUACACCUUAACUAAAACAAGCUUCGUUAAAAAUGAUAUUGGGAAAUAUAAUCUCUUGUCUGUGUGUUGUUUAUGAACGUAGAUGGAAGAUAAUCGUCUUACCCGAGAAUUCUUCAAAUUUCUUGCAAUAUACAUAUUAUAUUACAACGUACACCAUUGACCAAAUAUUUCGAAUCGCGUCUCCAAUUAUAAAUGCUGAUUUUAUUGUUCCUUCGAAAUAAAUAUCGCUUGCUAUCGCUAUGCUUGCCUUCGAAACUAACGCUACGAAUCUCAAGAACGAUCUUCGUCUUUGCCUCGAAAGAAUUUUCCAAGUGUCUUUUUACCUUUUAAUCCGAAGUUUACCAAAGAUUUUUGCUUCCUAGAACAAUAGAACUCUCAGUUGACUAUCUAUCGAAACGAUAUUUCGCUGAAUAAUUUCUACGAAACGCGUUAGUAAUUUGAAAAGCUUGGUCAACAGUAUGCAUCUUCUCAUCUUCUCCAAUGAAAAAAAGAAAAUAUCGUCGAAGUUAAAAAGAAGGAGAAACGUUUUUUCAACUUGCCUGAUCAAUAGCAACGACUGAAGCGACCUUCAACAAUGUAUUCUCGUAUGCUUUCGCAUUUGCGGUGAUAAGAAAAUAUCGAAAGCAGGGGUGGAGGAGGAUAUUCAAGAAAUUAGAAUAAAAGGGGAUGGACUUCACAGAGAGCCUAGAAAGAACGAUCUCUCCUCUAUAAGGAGCUAUCCUAACCAUAGCAUGGUAUUCAUUUCUUUUCUUUCUUUUUGUCUUUUUUUUCGUUUUUUUUUUUUUUUUUUUUUUUUUGAUCAUUUGUACGACGUCUGACGCAUUCUUCCAGGAAGAAGAGCGCACGACGAAGAGAUUUCAGUGGGUCUCUGACUGAGGGGAGCAGACAUUUAUCGAUCAUCCUUUACAUCCUGCGGCUUUCACUGAGAAGGACGAUGCGGCACAUACAACGACGUGGGGUCGUAUUCGGACCAGACCGUCGGGUUACCAUGGCGGCCAUGGUGACCAUGUUCGUUUUACCGAUGGUGAGCGUGGACGUAAGUAAAAGGACAGAAGUAACCAACAAUGUGAGAGCAGCGUCAAUGCGGCCGAAGAGAAGAGAUAGAGAGAGGCGGAGAUGUAUAUUUUUCAUGGUUUUUUUUUUUUUUUUUAGUUGGUCAGUCGAACAGUCCAAUGAAGGAGAUUCGAAUUCGAAUCGUAGAGUAUUUUUGUACGAAGUUUGUUUCAUGAUUUUUUUUUUUUUUUGGUUUUGAAUGGUCGACAUAUAUAUAUAUUUAGUGGUUGGUUGGUGACGGUUGG